UUUAACUUGGAGGGGUUUCACGUCACCCCUCCAUUCAGUAAAAGAAACAAAAGAAAGGGAAUUGAAAAGAGGGUUAAUCCUAAAAUCAUCUCCUCCUCCAUUCUUCUUCACCGGCGGCAAUAUUGGUGAGGUGCGGUGGUCUCUUUUUCUUCUCCAUUUUUAUCGUGACAAGGAGGCAAAGGGAACCGAAUCUCCAACUUCUUCCUCACCGGGUUGCAGUGAUUCAGUUCUUCUCUCAAGUGGCUUAUGGUGGUUCGAUUGGUGAAAUUGGAGCCACGGUGGUUCAGACGGGUUAUUGUGGUGUUUGGUGAUGGUACUCAUCGAUGAAGACCUCAACCUUAACGGUAGCUCGGAUUCGGAUUCUUGCUCGCAUAAAUGAAAUAAUAAAUAAAAAAGGGAGAGGAAUUUAACUUGGAGGGGUUUCACGUCACCCCUCCAUUCAGUAAAAGAAACAAAAGAAAGGGAAUUGAAAAGAGGGUUAAUCCCUAAAAUCAUCUCCUCCUCCAUUCUUCUUCACCGGCGGCAAUAUUGGUGAGGUGCGGUGGUCUCUUUUCUUCUCCAUUUUUAUCGUGGCAAGGAGGCAAAAGGAACCGAAUCUCCAACUUCUUCCUCACCGGGUUGCAGUGAUUCAGUUCUUCUCUCAAGUGGCUUAUGGUGGUUCGAUUGGUGAAAUUGGAGCCACGGUGGUUCAGACGGGUUAUUGUGGUGUUUGGUGAUGGUACUGAUCGAUGAAGACCUCAACCUUAACGGUAGCUCGGAUUCGGAUUCUUGCUCGCAAGGCGAUUCACGGUGGUUCCGAAUCGACAUAAGCGAGGGGUUUCGAUAAGAAAAUUACCCCUUUUGCUAUUUGAUUUUUUUACAGUACGAAAAUGGUUUGUCAUACAUAACCGAUUUAGGCUAAAGAUUAUCCAGAAAUGAACCCUAUGUCUUAAUAUUAUAUCGCUGCAUUGUAUACUUCAUAUUGAUAUGCACGUCUUUGUUGAAGCCAAAUGAAUGAAAAAUAUGCAUUUUAUUUGUAUGAUCUUUAAUUAGAUGUGUACAGAACACGUUAAAAUCAAAAGGGGUAUACUAUUUAGUUCCAGACUUGUUAUGGCUGCUGUGUUAGUAUUGCACUAGUAAAAAAUCAUGAUUCUCUUCAUAUUAGAACUAGCAUAACUAUGCUCAUUAUGUUAUUUAAAUAUAUAAAAAAUCAUUAGGGAGUAAACCCUCGACUUAUGUUAGUGAUAUGAGCAUAAGGAUAUGUGAUUCGCAAUGAGUAAGGUUCAUUUAUGUUUACUAGCACUUGAAUAAAUAGGAUGGGUGACUUACCUGAUUAUGCUUUGUUCCCUUAUCCUUCUGCGUGUUGAAUCUUCGUUCCAAGAUGUUCUCUUUUCUCUAUCUUUGUU
rnacentral:lncRNA from 1 species